GAUCUGAAAAAAUUUGUUUUGUUUGAGUUUCCUUCUCCUUUUUUUGUUCUUGUUUUUGUCUAUUGCCUUAUUUUGUUCUUCCGUUCUCUUAUUUUGUUGUUUGAUGUUUGGAAUUUUUAGAUCUGUACAAUAACUUAUUUUUUUGCAAAUGAUGUAUGUAACGUGCGGAUCCUCUGUGUACAGGCACGACAUCUACGGCCGUGAAGCACCAUCCUCGCAUUCGUCGUCCUUAGCCAGUGACAACCACUCAUCUCUCACGGCUUCUCUGUGUAUAUUUCAACAUCUCUUGUGUAUUAAGGCACUCUGUUUGGGUUUCCUUUUUUUAUGCAUAUUUUUAGAUUUUUUGGUUGGAUUUGUUCUUUGUUGGUUCUUCCUCGCGUGGUGGCUCAGAUCCGCUGCCUAUGGCCGCGUGUAGCAGCCGACGACCAUGGCGGAAGUUCACAUCGGCUGAUAAUGGCCAGUCGGCAGCCCACGACCACGCCAGAAAGACGUACGAACAAAUCUGAAGAUUAAAUUUCAGAAGAUCCAAUUUAUAUGAUGGGUUUAAUUUUUUUGUUGGGUUUACUCUUUAAAUAAAGAUGUAAAUAUGCAAAUAUAGUUUUAUCUUUCCAUUU